rnacentral:rRNA from 1 species
GAGGAAUAUUGGUCAAUGGAGGCAACUCUGAACCAGCCAUGCCGCGUGCAGGAAGACGGUCCUAUGGAUUGUAAACUGCUUUUAUUUAGGAAUAAACCCCCGGUCGUGCACCGGGGCUGAAUGUACUAAAAGAAUAAGCACCGGCUAACUCCGUGCCAGCAGCCGCGGUAAUACGGAGGGUGCAAGCGUUAUCCGGAAUCAUUGGGUUUAAAGGGUCCGCAGGCGGGUAAAUAAGUCAGAGGUGAAAUCCGGCAGCUCAACUGUCGCACUGCCUUUGAUACUGUGUAUCUUGAAUUUUAGUGGAGUGGGCGGAAUAUGUCAUGUAGCGGUGAAAUGCUUAGAUAUGACGUGGAACACCGAUAGCGAAGGCAGCUCACUAACUAUGAAGUGACGCUCAUGGACGAAAGCGUGGGUAGCAAAC